rnacentral:rRNA from 1 species
GACGAACGCUGGCGGCGUGCUUAACACAUGCAAGUCGAACGGUAAGGCCCUUCGGGGUACACGAGUGGCGAACGGGUGAGUAACACGUGGGUGAUCUGCCCUGCACUUUGGGAUAAGCCUGGGAAACUGGGUCUAAUACCGGAUAGGACUCCGGACUGCAUGGUCUGGGGUGGAAAGCUUUUGCGGUGUGGGGUGGGCCCGCGGCCUAUCAGCUUGUUGGUGGGGUGAUGGCCUACCAAGGCGACGACGGGUAGCCGGCCUGAGAGGGUGACCGGCCACACUGGGACUGAGAUACGGCCCAGACUCCUACGGGAGGCAGCAGUGGGGAAUAUUGCACAAUGGGCGCAAGCCUGAUGCAGCGACGCCGCGUGAGGGAUGACGGCCUUCGGGUUGUAAACCUCUUUCAGCACCGACGAAGCGCAAGUGACGGUAGGUGCAGAAGAAGGACCGGCCAACUACGUGCCAGCAGCCGCGGUAA